AACGAACGCUGGCGGCAGGCCUAACACAUGCAAGUCGAGCGAGGUAGCAAUACCUAGCGGCGGACGGGUGAGUAACGCGUGGGAACGUGCCCUUUGCUUCGGAAUAGCCCCGGGAAACUGGGAGUAAUACCGACUGUGCCCUUCGGGGGAGAGAUUUAUCGGCAAAGGAUCGGCCCGCGUUGGAUUAGGUAGUUGGUGGGGUAAUGGCCUACCAAGCCGACGAUCCAUAGCUGGUUUGAGAGGAUGAUCAGCCACACUGGGACUGAGACACGGCCCAGACUCCUACGGGAGGCAGCAGUGGGGAAUCUUAGACAAUGGGCGCAAGCCUGAUCUAGCCAUGCCGCGUGAUCGAUGAAGGCCUUAGGGUUGUAAAGAUCUUUCAGGUGGGAAGAUAAUGACUGUACCACCAGAAGAAGCCCCGGCUAACUCCGUGCCAGCAGCCGCCGUAA
rnacentral:rRNA from 1 species